GAUGAACGCUGGCGGCGUGCCUAAUACAUGCAAGUCGAGCGAACAGACGAGGAGCUUGCUCCCCUGACGUUAGCGGCGGACGGGUGAGUAACACGUGGAUAACCCACCUAUAAGACUGGGAUAAAUUCGGGAAACUGGAGCAAAUACCGGAUAAUAUAUUGAACCGCAUGGUUCAAUAGUGAAAGACGGUUUUGCUGUCACUUAUAGAUGGAUCCGCGCCGCAUUAGCUAGUUGGUAAGAUAACGGCUUACCAAGGCAACGAUGCGUAGCCGACCUGAGAGGGGGAUCGGCCACCCUGGACCGGGGACACGGUCCAGCCUCCUACGGGAGGCGGCAGUAGGGAAUCUUCCGCAAUGAGCGAAAGCCUGACGGAGCAACGCCGCGUGAGUGAUGAAGGUCUUCGGAUCGUAAGACUCUGUUAUUGGGGAGAAACAGAGGUGUAAGUAACUAUGCACAUCUUGACGGUACCUUAUCAGAAAGCCACGGCUAACUACGUG
rnacentral:rRNA from 1 species